CAAGAGUAAAUAGUCAUGAAGCAUCGCUAUGUGUGAGGUUUUGAUUCUUAUUUCUACUACUUUGCUGAAUCACUGCAGUCAAUGACCUUCGACAUGUCCAAGAGUGAAAAACAGAACCAUUGUGUCUAACCUUCUGGAUCUUACAGCUGAACUGGGAAGGCAGAGACCCUAAUACAGAAAGAUGCGUUUGUGCGGAUCCUGG
rnacentral:lncRNA from 1 species